CCUAGACCAAUUUACUACAAAAAGUUUUAUAAAGUUUAUUUUAUACUUCUUUGCCUAGUUACUAAACGAUGUGUAGAUUGUGAUUCAGGCAGGUAGACAAGCAACCACCCUAGAGCCAAUGGGCAACCGAGCGACGAUCCUGUCACAGUAGCCAAGUGCCCCCUGUAGCUGGCGCCGUCCCCAGGGGCCCACGAGGUGGAUGGAGGCGGUGGGAAUGCGAAAUGAAUAACAGACGCGGGCCCGGUGAUGGUGAGAAUACUGAUGCUGGACUGAUGAAGUGCCAACUCCACUGAUACCUCACCAUAUUAUUUGUUUUACAUAGAGCAAUCCAAUAUUUUUUAUACACUUUUGAAGUGUAUUAUCAAUAAGCAUAAUAAAUAAUAAGAGUUUUUGGACAAACAAAAUAAACACUUGAAAAGUAAUGUUAUCUGUUUAUGUAAAGAGUUUGUCACAUUUUAUACUAAUUGGUUUAUAUAAUUUCAUUAUAAUUCUCAUAAUGUGUAAUAGAUUGCAUAAAAUUGUUAUUAAAAACUCUAUUUACUAAA